AUGCCAUCCGGACAGAGGAAGAUCCAGAGACUUAGGGGUCACGUGAGCCAUAGCCACGGCCGCAUCAGCAAGCACUUGGAAGCACCCAGGAGGCCGUGGUGAUGCUGGUGGUAGGCGUCACCAGAGGAUUAGUGUCAACAAGUCUCACCUGGGUUGCUUUGGGAACGCUGGUGUGAGGCAUUACCACUAGGAACCAGAGCUUCUGCCCAGCUGUCACCCUUGAAGCCACAUGGAGGGAGGUUCAUGAAAUGCUAACAACUGCUUUAAAGAGAAAAAAAGACAAGAACCCUAACCUGUACCCCUGUUCCUCCUUCCCACAGGCACAACAGGGUUCUAUCAAGGAGGAAAUGGACUGGGCAACGCAGCCGGUUU
rnacentral:lncRNA from 1 species